rfam:Nomascus leucogenys chromosome 2, whole genome shotgun sequence.
AUCCUUCUGUUGUACAUAAACAUGAUGAUUUGUGUUUCAACACUCAUGUGUGAGACGUGCCUCUCACUAACGUUAUUACAAUGUUGGCACAUUACCUGUCUGACA